rnacentral:sRNA from 1 species
ACUUUUAAUUCCGGAGGCGGCGGAGGUAGAACCGGUCGUGUUCC